GCGAAAUCAAGUCAAAGGCCGUAAGCCUAAAACACACAAUAAAGAAAGGAAGGACCCACUUCAAAUACUUAGUGGGUCCUAGUCCUACAUAAACCUCUCACGUGCAAAUAGCAGCGUGAACAAAACUCACAAUAGUGACUGGUACUAGAAGGGGCAGAAGCAAAGAAAAAGACUACACUAUCUCCUUCAAAAGGAAGAAGCCCCCACCAUUUCUGAAUCCUCAGUUGCUCGAAACUCAACACUGCCAUUAACCACCGCGAUCAGAAAUCC
rnacentral:misc_RNA from 1 species